AGAAAACUACGGUGUCCGACAUUGAAGCAUAUGCUGUUCUAGAUGCUCUUGAUUGGCUCUGAUUGCAUAUAUCUCAUAACACCCAUAGAGCCUGUAUGACUGGGCCCUCCUGGUGGGCAGCAGCAGUGAGGACACACCUAGGAUGGACUCUACAAGGCCCAGCUCAAGACGAUCACCACCUGCUCCUCUGCCUCACGUUUGCCUUCUACUGGACAGCCAGCCAUGUGUCCCCAUUCACUACUGCCCACGUCAUCUCGUCUGAUAUUAUUCACAAACUUCCUUCAAAUGCCUUCAGAUCUCCAACCCUACUCAUCUCUCAUUCAUCUAAUGCCCCUAAAUCAUCACAACACUGUGGGCACAAUGCAUAAUUUUUCACCUACUACCUCUAUGAUCCAAAAGAAGUGAUAAAGCAGCUAAACUCCUCCACGUGCUUCCUUGACCCACAAUUUUUUUUCAAAGUACCCCUUAGAUCCAUCUGUGAUAAGCAACUACAGACCAAUCUCCAAUAUCCAAUAUAUGUUAUUCUUGUAUACAUUUUUUAAGAAAUACAAUUGUGUGUCAAAUUAUGCAUGUAUAACUUUUAAAAAAAAUUGGUGAGACUGAAGUUGAAAUAUAAUGGUGAACUUGUCAUCCAGUAAUGUAAAAAUAUAGAAAAUCAACAAUACAGUAAUGAAUGACAGCUGGAGAACAGUGUUAAUUGGUAAAACAACAGAUGUAAGCAGCAUGACAGCAGAGGAUGAGAAGUUCACCAUAAGGAGAGGAGGGGGCACACCAGCCCAGAGGGGGAUAUAUAAGGCUGUCUGCAGACCACAGGAUUGACUCCAUCCUCCACCCUGCUGGGAUGUUGUACGGGUUUAUCUGUCCUGUAUUGGAAUAAACUCUUUUGCACCGA